AGAGCGAACGCUGGCGGCAGGCCUAACACAUGCAAGUCGAGCGCCCCGCAAGGGGAGCGGCAGACGGGAGAGUAACACGUGGGAACGUACCCUUUGGUUCGGAACAACACAGGGAAACUUGUGCUAAUACCGGAUAAGCCCUUACGGGGAAAGAUUUAUCGCCAAAGGAUCGGCCCGCGUCUGAUUAGCUUGUUGGUGAGGUAACGGCUCACCAAGGCUACGAUCAGUAGCUGGUCUGAGAGGAUGAUCAGCCUCACUGGGACUGAGACACGGCCCAGACUCCUACGGGAGGCAGCAGUGGGGAAUAUUGGACAAUGGGCGCAAGCCUGAUCCAGCCAUGCCGCGUGGAUGAUGAAGGCCCUAGGGUUGUAAAGUCCUUUCGACGGGGAAGAUAAUGACGGUACCGUAGAAGAAGCCCCGGCUAACUUCGCGCCAGCAGCCGC
rnacentral:rRNA from 1 species